GGGUUGUGAGGUUAAGCGACUAAGCGUACACGGUGGAUGCCCUGGCAGUCAGAGGCGAUGAAGGACGUGCUAAUCUGCGAUAAGCGUCGGUAAGGUGAUAUGAACCGUUAUAACCGGCGAUUUCCGAAUGGGGAAACCCAGUGUGUUUCGACACACUAUCAUUAACUGAAUCCAUAGGUUAAUGAGGCGAACCGGGGGAACUGAAACAUCUAAGUACCCCGAGGAAAAGAAAUCAACCGAGAUUCCCCCAGUAGCGGCGAGCGAACGGGGAGGAGCCCAGAGCCUGAAUCAGUGUGUGUGUUAGUGGAAGCGUCUGGAAAGGCGCGCGAUACAGGGUGACAGCCCCGUACACAAAAAUGCACAUAUUGUGAGCUCGAUGAGUAGGGCGGGACACGUGGUAUCCUGUCUGAAUAUGGGGGGACCAUCCUCCAAGGCUAAAUACUCCUGACUGACCGAUAGUGAACCAGUACCGUGAGGGAAAGGCGAAAAGAAC
rnacentral:rRNA from 1 species